GUUGGAGCUUUCCAUCAGCUAUGUUUCCCACAGUAAGUUCUGCUGAAUGGUAAUGGAAGUGAGGCACCUCUGUGGCCACCGUAUUUACCCAGCAUAGAUGGUAGCCUGCUGUUGAUAAAACACUUGAACUCCUGCUGUUUAAAUUGCUACAUUCUGUUCUGAGGAGUGAAAUAAUGUUCUGCCAUUUGCUCCCAGGGGCCCCUCAAAGUGAGUGGCUGGGUCUCAGUAAGAUGUGAGUAUUCCUGGAUACCCUGUUGUGUCUUGACCAGACUUCUUAGGAUAACAGUGUUCCCUCAUUAAAACCUCAGUGUGUCUCCCUCUGGA
rnacentral:lncRNA from 10 species